ACUGAGGUAGAGGAUAUAAACUGAAGUGAACAGUGUUGAGGGUGUUAAUUAUAAAAGAUGCAUUUGUUUCUUCUUCUCCUUCAACCGAAUACACACGCACACAUGGUGGGAGAGAGAAACUCUCCUUUCUCUCUCUAGAUUCUUUCUCCAUCUCUCUAGAUCCAUCUCUCAAAUUCAAAAUUUUGGAGGAGAUGAUGUUGGAGAUGAAGUUGAAGCUCUCUAAUGGUGGAAGCAAGCUUUCCAAUGGUGGAUUUAGCUUGAUGAGCAUGGUGGCCUAAGGUAUACGAAUGUGUUGGUGAAGUCGGUUCGGCGAUUCGUCGAGCCUACGCGAAGUUAUUGAAGAAACGGACCGUUAAAGCUUCGUUUCCGCCUGAGGGCCGAGGCGACGUCCUAAAAUCAUAAAAACGGAAUCGUGAGCUCGUGACAACUAACCAUGGACCUUUAAUUUUCGGAUCGUGGAUUGGAGGCCAUUCGGGUGGUCGUACGAGAGUUCGGGCUGAACCGGGUCACGGGUGUCGCGGGAGGCAGAUUGUUAGUGACUACAAGCAAUCGGAGUGCGAAUUGAGGUGGGUUGUGCUCACCGAAGCGACUAGGUCGCCGUUAUGUCUAAGAGUAAUGGUUACUAUUGAUGCAUACAUGUGUAGUGAUAGGUUGCAAGAGAUAAUGUAGAUGUAUGAAUCUUAUGCUUGAUGUUGAUACCUACCAAUGAAAUAUGUAUGUUGAUACAAUGAGGAAAUGCUAGAUGAUGCAUGUAGUUAACACUAAGAGAAUGCAUGUUAAUUACAUAA